rnacentral:rRNA from 1 species
CAAAGGAAUUUUGCUUAAUUGCACCACAUGUGUUUUUCUUUGAAACAAACUUGCUUUGGCGGUGGGCCCAGCCUGCCGCCAGAGGUCUAAACUUACAACCAAUUUUUUAUUAACUUGUCACACCAGAUUAUUACUUAAUAGUCAAAACUUUCAACAACGGAUCUCUUGGUUCUCGCAUCGAUGAAGAACGCAGCGAAAUGCGAUACGUAAUAUGAAUUGCAGAUAUUCGUGAAUCAUCGAAUCUUUGAACGCACAUUGCGCCCUCUGGUAUUCCGGAGGGCAUGCCUGUUUGAGCGUCGUUUCUCCCUCAAACCGCUGGGUUUGGUGUUGAGCAAUACGACUUGGGUUUGCUUGAAAGACGGUAGUGGUAAGGCGGGAUCGCUUUGACAAUGGCUUAGGUCUAACCAAAAACAUUGCUUGCGGCGGUAACGUCCACCACGUAUAUCUUCAAACUUUGACCUCAAAUCAGGUAGGACUACCCGCUGAACUUAAGCAUAUCAAUAAGCGGAGGAA